UUCCGGUAAGUUGUAAGUCACCUGGAUAUUGUUUUUAUAAUUGUGAUUUACUGAGAAACCCCUCUUAUGAAAGUUAGAAAAUUUGCUUUAGACUAGCAAGGUCAUUGGGUAUGCUCUUGGUACAUGCUAAAGGAGUUACCCAAUACUAAAGCACUCAAACAGAAGACUUUAAAAGCCUUUAAUUUUGGUGUGAACACAGUGAACUAGUAUUUGGCUGAUCAGGAGUUUUUAAGACAUUUAAUUGAUGCUGCUCCAUUUUUAUCAUGUGUGCAAUGCAGAUACUGUAUGUCUCCUACUUGCUUUUUAGGGUUGUUGGGAGGAUAAAUGAAACACACUGGGAACUCAGAAGAAAGGUGCUUUUGAAACUGAACCUCAUCCUAUGACUGUGCCAAGAGGCAGUGGUAGUGCACCCCGUGGUGAAGGGCCAGGACCAUGGCUCUGGAGCCAGGCUGCUGUGGUUCGAAUCCCACCUCGGCCUCUUGCAAGUGGCCUGACUGCAACACAUUACCUAAGCUCUCUGUGCCUGAGUUUCCUCCUCUUUAAAUUGGGGAUGAUAAUAAUAGCACCUCCUCUCAAAGGAUCAUGGUCUUAAAAUAUUGGUAGCAGAAAGCAAAUGUGCAAAGAGCAAUGGAAAAACAAGUCAGAAGCUGCUGUCUGAUUCCAGAGAUGGUCUCAUGUUAUGUAAAAAAGCUCUCACCACACACUUGUUCAUGGGCGCAGCAAGAAGAGGGAUCCACAGAGCUGGAACUGUAAGGGCUGACACAUUGGGAUGAAGCUGGCAGAACUUGUAGGGAGAGCUUUACCAUCCUUCCAGCUCCAUAUCUGGCUUCAAAUGAAUCAAAUGUUACUAAAAAGAAAAUAGAUUAUAGUGACCUAUUGUUGCUUCAUCCAGAGUGAUUGUGAAGGAGCCCAUGGCCUGACUUAGCUCUGGAGAGCAGAUCUCUGUCCAUGUGCCCCUGGUUCCAGAGGCCACAGUGACAUCUGUGACGCCCCUCUCUGCCCCUCACCACCAAGCAUUCCUAUUCUCACUAGCAUCUAUUCCAGCAUGAUCUGUUUUGUGUGUUGAUUACUGUUUCCCACAAGAAUGGAAGCUCCAUGAGAGCAGGGCCUCUGUCUUGUCCUGUCUCUGCAGCUUACAGGACAGUGGAGUCUCAAUAAAUGCUGUUGAAAAACUAGUGGGCCACUAGCGUUGCGUCCUGUCUCAAUCUUUAACUUGCUAUUUAUAUACUGUAUACCUGUUAAAAUGGAAAAGGGUGAGAAUUCGGGAGUAAAUAUAAAAGCUGUUGUAUUAAAAUAACUGACAGUAUAAUGCAAGGUGGUGCAAGAAGCCAGAGCACGUGAGAACUAUGGAUCCGUGAGUUACAGACUCACUGUAUGUUGUGUCACCGUGCCUCCCAAACAGUGGGAGACAGGUGGUAGGAGAAACAGUCAUGUCUCGACUAUUGCAACGUCAAGACAUCUAGGGAGAGUCUAGAGAGAAAUACCAAGAAAUAAGAGUAGGAAGGUAGAAAAUAGGCAAAUACUGAACCAUUUCCUUAAUAUUUAACAAACUUCAUCAAGUAUGCAGGAUAAGUGAAAAUAUUUUUUAGAACAAGUAAACUUCACUGGUAAACUUGUAGACAAGGACAGACAUGUGCCACAUAUGUGAAACACUAUGUGGCCUUGUGAUCUCACAGCUGUCUUAGUUCUUGUCAUAAGUUCAUGCCCUGAUGUUCACAUGACAACGAAUCACCCAGCAGCACUUACCUCAGUAAGUGCCUUUGUCAUCAAGCAGUGCCUGACUCUAUCUCAGUAGUAUUAGCAGAGUACUUUUGUUCCACAGCACCCACACGGAUGCUGUGGUUACUCCAUCUUUAUGCUUUGUAUGUUGGCAUAGGCCACAACACCUAUACUGUUUUUGAAAAUUUUUGAGAAGCUUUUUUUGUUUUUAAAUAAAGAACAAAAAUGAAACCAAGGAGUCAGUAUCCUGUGAUAUAGGCUAUUAUCUCAAGGUGAGUUUAUUUGUAGCACUAACCUGUAAUGGAUUGUCUAAAAGAACUAAAACUUCU